AGCAGUAGCCGCGGUAAUACGGAGGGUGCAAGCGUUAAUCGGAAUUACUGGGCGUAAAGCGUGUGUAGGCGGUUCGUUAAGUCUGUUGUGAAAGCCCCGGGCUCAACCUGGGAAUGGCAAUGGAUACUGGUGAGCUAGAGUGUGUCAGAGGAUGGUGGAAUUCCCGGUGUAGCGGUGAAAUGCGUAGAGAUCGGGAGGAACAUCAGUGGCGAAGGCGGCCAUCUGGGACAACACUGACGCUGAGGCACGAGAGCGGGGGAGCAAACAGGAUUAGAUACCCCCGUAGUCCCUGUCUCUUAUACA
rnacentral:rRNA from 1 species